rnacentral:lncRNA from 1 species
AGUGGGGUGGUUCAGCCUUUCGAGGGUAAUGUUAGCUCGUAACAUAGUGCUAUUAACUCAUGGUUACAGGUUGUCAGAUGCGGCCAAAUGGCUCGAGGGUCGGCGACGGGGUUGCAUGGCUCUGUGUCAGAGUUCCAACACUUGGCCGAAACGCCCGCCAUGCUGCCAAUCUCUAUGUCUCUGUGAAUUGGAGGAGAGGGCUAAAGUGGGGGAGAAGUCCAAUAAGCAGUGACCUAAAGGUCCUUUUACAAGCAUCUUUACCACAUCACAAGGUAAAUGCUUUGGGAUCACUGUGACAUGAUUUAUCUACCAUGCAUUUCCAGGACACAUUGAUACAUACACUGCAGUUUUAGUACUCGUAAAGGAUGAUGAGUUAUGUCAGACUAAAUAGUGUCAUCCAUAUCUACCUUUUCUCUUUCUGUAGGACAAACUUGUUGCUUUCUUGUAGGGUUUGAUAUUAGGUUGCCAGAAACAGAGCCAGGAAGGAAGGAGUUUUCGGGUUUUCCAAACAACUCAUUCUUCUAUUCUUCUGGAAGAAUGAAAUGGACCCUAAGAUUAAUAAGAAAAACUAUGGUAGUUUAGAGUGACACAUUAUCUAAGAGUAGAUUAACAUCUUUCUCCUUUUAGCUCAAUCAGGACAAAAGAUCUGUGGAGGAUGCAAGUAAGUCAGUCAGCUUGGCCAUUGAAUUACUGUAAGUGCUCUGUGGUGGAUGCAAGAUUGGAUUUGCUAACCUUCAAUCGGCUUUCUAGUGUUCUUUCUACUGUCAUAGUAUAGUAUAGUUAGGAAAUCUGAAGAGUUGGUGUUGAGGAUUCAUAUCUAUGCACAACAUAAAGCUGGCAGCAACAUUUAACAUGAAUCUUAGAAUUCUACUUUGCCCUUCUUAUGGGCCACCUCCAUAUGUUAUUAUAUAGACUAUACCUAUUCUCUUCUUGAUUGUGAAGCAUAGUCCUUAUUUUUCUCACUCCUAUGGACUGAUGAUUUAGGAUUGACUUCUUUCUAGAUUUUGCUUCAUUGUUAGGAUUGUUCAUCAAGUGCUGCUGCACAUUCAAAAGUGCAGUAUGUUUGCCUCAGAAUGCUGACUGACACACAUGCGCAAGAACAUACCUGUCUUCAACAUCCUAAAUACCAUGCAUUAGUGCUGCACACUGCACCAUUGGUUGUAACCUGUUAGCACUCUGAGGUGCCAUAUCUUUCCCAUCAAAUGCCAAACAUUCUAAACUUUAUAGUUUACAUGCCAAGCAGUAAUUUGUGGAAUCAACAGCAGUCAUGCAACCUUAUUCCUUCAAGUUCCGUGCUUGCGAACUGAUUACUUUGAGCUAAUUUUUUGGACAAAAUGUCACUGAAAUAUGGUUAUAUUAUCAAGAAAACAAAUUUUCAGUGACAUUUUGUCCAAAAAUUUAUUAGGCAAGAUGAAUUGAUUAGUUUGAGUGAUCUACUAGAAAUACUAAAGAGUAAUUAAUAGAAAGAGAUUUGGAUAUUCUUGGCUUUAUUAGAACUAUUAGCUUACACAAAGCUCAAUGGGGAAAAUUUAUGAAGCUUAUUUGUUGUUUUUUACUUAUAUUUGUUUAUGUCAAGCUCUUACUACAUAUUGUUAACUUGAAUUAGAACUAAAGCCGGAUGUUUAUUAUGAAUCUUGAUGCAAAAAUUCUCCUACAAAUUAGUCAUUACAUGUUCUGCAUAUGUUUUCUUAUUUCCUCUUGCCAUAGUUCAAUUGCAGAUCACUUUAUAGUGGAAGGCGAAUCAACCAACUACUGCUACAAACAAAUUAAUAUGACACUACCAACUUUUAC